AAAUUGAAGAGUUUGAUCAUGGCUCAGAUUGAACGCUGGCGGCAGGCCUAACACAUGCAAGUCGAACGGUAACAGGAAGCAGCUUGCUGCUUUGCUGACGAGUGGCGGACGGGUGAGUAAUGUCUGGGAAACUGCCUGAUGGAGGGGGGUAACUACUGGAAACGGUGGCUAAUACCGCAUAACGUCGCAAGACCAAAGAGGGGGACCUUCGGGCCUCUUGCCAUCAGAUGUGCCCAGAUGGGAUUAGCUAGUUGGUGAGGUAACGGCUCACCAAGGCGACGAUCCCUAGCUGGUCUGAGAGGAUGACCAGCCACACUGGAACUGAGACACGGUCCAGACUCCUACGGGAGGCAGCAGUGGGGAAUAUUGCACAAUGGGCGCAAGCCUGAUGCAGCCAUGCCGCGUGUAUGAAGAAGGCCUUCGGGUUGUAAAGUACUUUCAGCGGGGAGGAAGGUGUUGUGGUUAAUAACC
rnacentral:rRNA from 1 species